AGCGCGUCCGCGUCGUCAUGGCGACGGGCGGAGCGGGCGCUGGCUCCCGCGAAUCCGGCCCGGGAACCAGCUCCACUGUGAGCCGCCUGGGACCUGGGGCGCGGGGUGGCUCCCUUGGCCGCCGCCGAGCUGCUGAGGCAGCCUGAGCUCCAGGAAAUGACCCUUGGCUCUAAAAAGAGGACCCCAUUUUUCAUGAUAAAAUGGCACCAGUGAAAACCCCCAGCAGAAAACCAAAGAAUGCUGAGGAACCGUUUAAUAACGUCUCGCCCGUCCUUUUGAAGAGUCUAGUGGAGGAGCCCAAGGGAAGAACAGAAGUACCUAAUCACCUCUUAGAAUCGAAGAUUUAUGCAAAGCUUCUGAAUAAUAAGGUCAUCCAGGCAAAACCUGGCAUCCUGCACUUUGGAGGCUAUCAAGUAGGAAAACAACACCAACAGGCUCUGCAUCUGGUCAACGUCUCGAAUGAAGACAUAGAUGUUCAUAUCUUACCCCCACAAACCAAAUACUUUCAGAUCAAGUAUGUGAAAAAGGAACACCGCCUUGUCCCUGGCUUGUCCCUCACGGUCACCGUUACGUUUUCUCCAGACAAGUGGCGCUACUAUUAUGAUUGCAUCCGUGUUCACUGUAAGGGAGACGAGACUUUGCUUGUUCCCAUCCAUGCCUAUCUUGUCAUGAACACACUGGACUUUCCCUCAUUUAUAAAUCUAUCAAAUGUUCUCCUUGGUGAAAGCAAAAAUUAUGUUAUUCCUUUGCAGUGCAGUAGCCCUGUAGAUUUCGAGUUUCAUAUCACUUUGGUUCAGUCUCAUCAAGCCUUUACUAUCGAGCCAACAUCAGGAAUAAUUCCAGCUAAUGGGAGGAUGAACGUGACUGUGAAGUUUACACCCUUUCAGUAUGGCACUGCACAAAUGAAAAUGCACUUAUGGAUUUCACAGUUCAACUCUCAACCCUACGAAUGUGUCUUCACGGGGACAUGCUGUCCCAACAUGGCUCUGAAAUUAGAAGAAUUCAAAAGGCUGAAUGCUCUUUCUAAGAAAGUAGACAUCCCUCCAGAAAAGGCAAUGACACGUAUAAACUUUCACCGACGGCCAGCCCGGACGAAGCCUCCAAAGCAUAAGGAAAUUGAAUAUCAGAACUUGAGAUUUCCAGUAGACUUAUCAAAUCCAUUUGCUGUGGCAACCGUUUUAAACCAAGAACCAGGAAAAUUGAAGAUUAAAGAAUUGAGAGAAGUUUUGGACCAAGGCAAUGAGAUUUCAAGGGCAAGACAGAUGAAGGAAGCACUCUUUGAACAGAAAGUCAGACGGGACACUUAUGAAGAGAUCAAAAAUCACCUUAAGUGGCAAGUGAACCUUGGUAAAGAUCAAAUGUCUUUUAAAUUUAAAACAGACCUUACUGAAGAGCGGCAAAGAGUAAACACCAAAUAUAAGCUGGAUAGAGGAGAUCCUGUUUUGGAUGAGGAAUUUCAGCGACUCAAGACAGAAGUUAACCACACACGCGUUGUUCGCAAUCUGGAAGAAAAAAUCGAGGAAUUUCAUCCCAGUUUUGAUCCACUCACGAAUAAUACUUGGGUCAACAGGUUCAGGGCGCAACGACGGUUUCAACAAGCAGCCCGCAAGAUCAUGGUUCAUCAACGACUACUCAGUAUGCUGAGUGCUUUUCAUGACAUGGACAAAGGGACCAUCCUCAGAAGGCUCACUAAAGGACGACAGUCAAUAGCACCAGACAAGAGUCCCUCCAGAUUUCUGCCGCUGAUCGGUCACGACGAUUAUUCCAGGCGGUUUUCGGUGUCGCCCAAGGAAGUCCUGCCCUUCGCCUUCCCGUCCCACAGUGCUCCUCAGGACUCCAACGAGUUGGCUCCCGACGGCCUUGGCCCGGUCCCAAUCAAAUCUUCAGAAAUUCCAAUCAAGCAGAGUUAUUCCUUCCUCAAGCUGCAGGUUCCUGAGCUGUACAAAAUCAAGGGGUAUCAGCCAUUCUGUGUCCAGAAGUCUUCCACAAGUUACAGACCUCAAAAGCUUGCUCGAGCCCUGAAGCAAGGAGCUGAGGAUGAAGCCACCACCAUCAUAGCCCUGCCGAACCAGGAGGCCGCACCUCAGCUGGCCGGCAAGACCUCGGUCCUGAGCAUGAAACCCCCAGAGGCCUUAGCCAGCUCUCCAGACUACGACCCGCUUUAUAUUUUUAAUCCCAGUCCAGGAGUAUUUGCUGUGAAGCACCCUCUGACCUACGCAGAAACCUUGACAGAUUACCACCUGUGUUCUCACCCCAAGUACAAGGUCACCAAGGAGUCCCACGAUGGGUCCAGCAUUCCUCUCACCCAAAGGCAGUUUCUCCAUCACACGGACAUAAUUCCUGGAAUAAUGCACUGGAAGAGGUUCCAGCCCCUGGUUUUCUCAUCCCUGCCUGAAACCUCUAAGGUAGAGACCACACAAAGCUGCGACCCCUUCGAGGUGGCCCUGCUGCCCGCGCACGUGCCCGCCACGCUGGACGCCCUGCCCGAGGAGGACAGACUGGAAGCCGCCGAACGUGAGCUCUGUGAACAGAAUAUAGAAAUUACAUUGACUCCAGAAAUGAUCGAAGCGGAAUUCCCCCUGUUGGACUCCAAGGACACCAAGAAGCAGAAAGUGCUGUUUACCUCCACCACCACCAGAAAACAUGCUGGAUUAGCAGAGAGGCUAACAGAAGAGACAGGAACUUGGUUACUACCCACAUCGGCUGUUCACAUUAUGACCCACAAGUAGGAGGACCACCAAUGAGCAGUCAGAUAAGGUUCUGACGUUGCUCCCAGCGGCAGCUGGAGGCCACGCUCAGCAUCCAUCCCCAGGUCUGGACCAACCAGCUGGCCCACUGAUGUCCUGUGCUGGUCACUGGAGAGGAAAGAUGUCCCAGCCUUGAGGUCUGGACUCAGCCUCUGCAGAGGACACUCAUCCGGAGUCCCAGGCUGCAGAGCCACAGCCCUCAGGGUCCCACGGGAGUCGGGUCCUCCCUGCCGGUGCCUCCUCCUAACAGCAGAGCCACAGCUCUUUCUGUCUCCACUCCUGUUCCACCCCUUCUGGAUCCCGCACCCGAGGCCGUCCCUGCCAGCCCCUGCCAGCCAGACGAACGUCAGGAGCCAUCUGCUGCCUGAGCCAGCGCAGCUGCCAGGAACGUGCUCGCGUCCAUGUCCGGGAGAAGCAAGGCGUCAGCCCGUCUGGGCCAGGACCGGGCGCUGCCCUGCUCACAGCUUCCCCCGGAGGUGACGUGUGCCCUGAAGUUCCAGAGUCUCGCCGUUCGGGAGAGCCCACGUUUAGGUGACUGUUCUUCAAAUACCCACUUCUAAGGGAAGAGGCCUCAGCCAUUCCUGACACAGAGAUCUCCACAGGGACCACGUGUCCCACCCACAUGAGCUCUGCCCAGCAGCUGGAGCCACAGAGGACACACACAGCCCCCACAUAUACCUACUUUCCACAUGCACACCAUAAUACACUACACACCACACACACACUCCACACCUCAGGUGGCAUUUAGAGUCCCAGCCCCAGCGCACUCUCCCUUGGACAGUGGAACCAGAGGGGCAGGAAGGGUGGUCCUCCACGGUGGGGCCCGAGGAAGCCUCGAGGCCCUCAGAGGUGAGCGGAGUUCAUGGUAGGAGCACCUUGUGCUCUUUGCCACUUGUGUAAAUGUUGCUGUACACCAGGUUCUGUCCCCACUGACUGUACCCCCUUGGAGGGAGGCGUGGCCCCGUGACCGGCUCUGGCCAGUGGAUUUGACGGGUGAGAGGGACCACUUCCCCGUGAAAGCAUCCGAGAACCAGUGUCUCCAUCUUCCCUUUCCCUGUGGCCUCCAGAGGUUGGGUCCCCAAGUGAGGCUGGCAUGGAGCGGAGACUGCCAGCCCGUGACAGACAGGGAGUGAGAGUGACAGCCUUUGUGGGUGUAGGCACAGAUUUGGGGCUGUUUGUCACCACCGCAUCGUUCACACCCUCCUGCUGCCGGGCGCAGUGAAGAGCCACACCUCACAAGGGCUGGACUCUCCCCUGAGACGAGUCGUGGGAUUUGGGCACAAAACUGGCAGCGCAUCACGGAGGCUCGUGACCGGGAGGUGAGAACUUGCUAGCUGGCAGCGGUCUUGUGGCCUCUCAAUGCCCAGCCCUCCCGGCUGGUGUCCACAGAGGCCACAGAGCCUUUCUGAGAAACAGGCAUCAGGAUUUGACCAUGCAACAUGGAGCCACCGGAAACGCCGUGUCCGUGGGUGUGUGCGAGUGUCUUUGUGUCUUCCUUCUCUUUUCCAUUGAAAGAGCAUAAGCUCAGGUUGGUGAUGGCCCUGGAAUGGGAACAGAAUGGGACUGGGAAACUUGUUUCUUAAUUUUCUGUCCCCACCCCCUUCACACCAGUGUCUCAAAAGCUGAAGGCAACACCCGAGGUAAGAACUGUUUUCAUCCUUGGUUACAAGCCCCUGUUCCCAUGGCAGCCCAGCAUGCUCUGCGUGCACUUGCACACCAUCCUGUCUGGUUCCCUGUCGGUCUCUCCCACCCAGGCUGCCAACGUCU